rnacentral:rRNA from 1 species
GACGAACGCUGGCGGCACGCUUAACACAUGCAAGUCGAACGAAAAUGUUUCACCGUAGCUUGCUACACCGAGACAUUUUAGUGGCGGACGGGUGAGUAACACGUGAGGAACCUGCCUAUCAGAGAGGGAUACCGUUUGGAAACGAACGUUAAUACCUCAUAACGUAACGAGAUCGCAUGAUAAUGUUACCAAAGAUUUAUCGCUGAUAGAUGGCCUCGCGUCUGAUUAGAUAGUUGGUGAGGUAACGGCUCGCCAAGCCUACGAUGUCUAGGGGUUCUGAGAGGAAGGUCCCCCANACUGGAACUGAGACACGGUCCAGACUCCUACGGGAGCAGCAGUGAGGAAUAUUGGUCAAUGGUCGAGAGACUGAACCAGCCAAGUAGCGUGAAGGAUGACUGCCCUACGGGUUGUAAACUUCUUUUGUUUGGGAAUAAAUGAUACUACGUGUAGUAUUUUGCAUGUACCUUACGAAUAAGCAUCGGCUAAUUCCG